rnacentral:lncRNA from 1 species
UUUGAGCUAAAUUUUGUAACACGUUAUCAGUACAAAUAUGCUUCUGUUUUCGUACACCACCAUACAGGCAUAGACCGUCGUUUUGCUAUCCUUAUACCACAAUUCUACGGCUAUCAAAUAAAAUGAAGAUGGAAGCCAAUGGGUUGGAUACUAAUAGACGAUAAGUGUUCAUCUUUGUAGCUUAUUCAUAUUUUUAUUUUUAUCUUUACUAAUCUCAAAAAUAUCUAUUUUUUCAUGAUAAUUUUUCUGCCAAGUAGGAUCUAACACUUCUUCUCUUUUUACGUUAGACGACUGUUAUGUGAGAUGUUAACUAAGUUUUUGUGUUAUUGUAGCCAAUCUUUUGAUUUGCUUGUGUUAUAUACGUGUUCUUGGGCAGUUACCUUUUGGCAAUUGAUGGAAAGUAUGCAAUCAUACAAGUAUUGUCAAAGCACCCCAUGAUUAAAAGCUCAAGGGUGAGUCAUAGUACAUUUUGGCAUAUUAUGACAUCGGUUUAGGAUAAGACGGUGAGUUCAAGUCCCAGCGUACCAUAAGAAGAAGAUAUCGGGUUCGAGUUCUGUUACACCAUCAUGAUAAGGGCUGAAUUUAAGUUCCAACUUAUUAUGGUGUAAUGUAUCUUUAUAUGGGUAAGACAUUGAGUUUGAAUCCCAAUGCACCAUAUUGAUGAUAUAAUGAUGACUAAAGAAAAAUAGUAUAUUUUUCAUGAAAAAGUAUGAAGUUUGUCCACUUGAUUUACAACAUACUUGAAGUAAAUGUGGUAGUAGUGCAUAAUUAAUCUAAUGAAGAAAAGUGAUUUACCAAUGAACAUCAGCGUGCCAUUGAUAAAAUAUUAAUAGUCAUUAUUAUGGUAAUUAUAAAAAUGAGAAUAAUAAAAGUUCUCAAAAUAUUCCUUCAAAAUGUGAAAGUGAUAUUUGCCAUCAAUGUGGUAUGAUAAUAAUAAGCAUGCUCAUAUGAUUAUAGUCCAAUUAAAGAUAAUGUGAG